GCCAGUGUGGAAUAGUGGUUUGAGUGUUGGACUAUGACUCUGAAGACCAGAGUUCAAUUCCCAGCUCAGCCA
rnacentral:tRNA from 1 species